CUGAUAAAUAUAUUAAAGGGCUGCAGUAUUUUGACUGUACAAAGGUAGCAUAAUCAAUAGUCUCUUAAUUGGUGACUUGUAUGAAAGAUUGGAUGAAAUAUAAACUGUCUCUUAUUUAUGUAAAGAAUUUAAUUUUUUAAUUAAAAAGUUAAAAUAAAUUUAAAAGACGAGAAGACCCUAUAGAGUUUUAUAUUUAAAUUUAUUGAUAUUAUUUUUUAGUUUAAUAAUUGAAAUAAAUUUAAUUAUUUUAUUGGGGUGAUAAAAAAAUAUAAAUAACUUUUUUUAAUUAUUUAUCAUAAAUAAGUGAGUAAAUGAUCCAAAAAUUUUGAUUAAAAGAAAUAAUUACCUUAGGGAUAACAGCGUAAUUUUUUUUUUUAGUUCAAAUAAAAAAAAGAGUUUGCGACCUCGAUGUUGGAUUAAGAUAAAAUUUAUAUGCAAAAGUAUAAAAUUUUGAUCUGUUCGAUC
rnacentral:rRNA from 1 species